UACGUAGGGUGCAAGCGUUAUCCGGAUUUACUGGGCGUAAAGCGUGCGUAGACGGUUAUGUAAGUCAGAUGUGAAAGCCCCGGGCUUAACCUGGGAAUGGCAUUUGAGACUGCAUAGCUAGGGUGCGGAAGAGGGAAGCGGAAUUUCCGGUGUAGCGGUGAAAUGCGUAGAUAUCGGAAGGAACACCAGUGGCGAAAGCGGCUUCCUGGUCCAGCACCGACGUCAGGCACGAAAGCGUGGGGAGCAAACAGG
rnacentral:rRNA from 1 species